AGUCAUGACUACAUUCCUGAAAAAAUCCAGUCAUAUAUAUACUGUACCAGGAUGUUCAGUAGGGAAGUUGAGACUGUAGGACUUCUCUGUAGGACUUCUCUGGAAGAUGAAAACUGAAUGGACUUCAAAUAUGCUUUGGGACACUCCAAUGGACAUAUUUAGUUUUUCUACAACCUAACAACAAACAACAAACUUAGACAUUACUUUACAACAUGUGGAGUAUUGGAUAUCACUUCUUCUGAAACAUUUGGAAACUACAUAAAUAUCCCAGGCUCGAGGAGACGGACUUAACACUCCAGUUCAGUGUGAAACAAAUCCGACUGGUGUGGAUGGAGUUGUGGUUUAUGAUGACAUAACCUAUCCUAUACGAUCUGUCCCAUCCGCUUAUAUUGGUGAAGAAGUGCCAAGGUGGAGGGACAAGGAUCUAUGGAUGACAAUUGCUUUUGCUGCUAUACAACAGGGGCUGCUGCUGCUGUUCCUGAUUAGAAUGACAUCCUAAAGUUUCAGCGGCCCAAAAGCCAUCUUUCAUAUAAUUUCAACGAAAUUUAACUUAAAGGAGCAUGAGGCUCCUUUUAAGAAAUGAGACUCAUUAGCGCCACCCUUCGCCACGACGGCCGUCG